UUUCCUGUAUUUCUUAAAAACAAAAUAUUACCAGUUUGGAUAUUUAACAUUUGAAGGAUUUACAUUAAAAUUGUGGAUUUAAAAAGUUAUCUUUGAAGAGAGGAUUUAUACUAAAUCUGAUUUUAAACUGCUGUGAAAUAUAGUGGAAUUUAUACUGAUUGCAUUUAAUUUUGACCUGGACAGGAUUGGGACUAUUUUAUACAUAAGAUUGGAGUUUACGGCCAUUUGACAUUUUUAAGGUGUCUGCCACGAUGAUGUCCAUUGCAGACCUGGAACGGUCUUCUGCGCAAGACCGGAAGUGAUUAUCAACUAGAGCGCAAUGGCAAAAAUGCGCAAAUUAUUGCAUGUCCGCACGCAUUCAGCGUAUAAUAUGUAUAAUGUACUGACUAAAGGUUAGUUUUAAUAUUAACAUUGUUACAAAAUAUAUACAUUAAAGAAACUUAUUAUUCAAUCGUUUGAAUCCGGUAUAUACCGGAGUAUGUAAUUAAUCACAGGUGCUUAAGGUCUACAGUGAGUAGCAGUCACAAUCCAAACUGUAGUAAAGCUUAGUGCUACUCGUAGUUAUACGAAUUAAUAAGAAGUUAUACUUACCAAACAAGCAAAAGCGAAAAGUGAGUGAUUGAGUUAGGAUUUUAGAGCGAAUCGACACAAAAGGGUCAUAUAUCACUGAGAAGUUGUAUUUAAAAUGUAAAGUGUACAGCAUCUCUAAAACAUAAUGUAGAGACGUAGAUACAUAUAAAGGGUAUAAAGGGUUAAAAUAUCACUGGCAAACUAUAACAUUGCAAAUUAUGUAAUUAAAAAUAUAUCAUGUUCAAAAUAUAAUGUUAUUAAUCAAGCAAUUUUAUAUUGGCCUUGUUAUUUGUGCAAGGGUUGUCGUAUUGGCCCAAGACUAGGCCGAGGGCCAAUACGACUGCCCGAGAACAAAUAACUAGGCCAAUAGGAAAUCGCUUGAUUUAUGAUAAUAUUAUUAUUCAACUUUCUACUGUUGGCAGUAUCACCAUAAAAACACUAUGAGGUACCUUAUGGCAGCUAUGCACGUUCAGGUGAAAAAUCUUGACAAGUUGUUUAGACUUAUUUUAGAAAGCAUAAUCAUUUUAGCCAGUAAAACAGAAUUAGUUGUAUGUAGGUACCUGAGAAAAAUUUUUGAGAGAUAUUUUUGAUGCGACAUAAUCAGCAGUAACUGAAACUUACCUUAUUUGUUUGGAAUUCCUAUUAAUUUUCUUAAAUGAGUAUCUUAUCACUUAAACUGUGAUAAAAACUGCUUUAAGCCAUUUCGUUUUAGGCUGCAGGCAACGGGACACGAAAUUGUACACAUAUGUGUUGAUCAAGAUAAUAUAACCAACCAAGCACAUAUUAUAUACCCCCAUGCCUCGUUUAAUUCCUAUCAGAAAUUGUUUCGUGUUCGCUAAUUUAUUCAUCCACUUUCCAGCAUGUGAAUCGCUAUUAAUUUAUCAUUGCACUAUCAAAAUGUCUGUUCAAGAUAGGUUCAUGCCACAGCAGGAAAACAGAUGCCAUUCAGCAAAACACUCAAUCUACUUUCAAUAAUUACCAUAUAUCUCCAAUGUAUAGAGCUUAAAUGAAUGCUCUUGUUUAAUUUCUUCUGAAAACACUUAAAAAUGAACAGGAAUUAUUUUUUUACAUUUUGACAAAACGAGGUCGCACAAUGUAAAAUUGUGAAAAUCAAUACUGGGAGAAAAGAUGCAUAGUAAAUUCAAAGCAUGGAGAAGGUCCCUUUUUCAGCACUAUGGCGGAAGGAAAAACAAUUACCGUGAUGUGGCAACAAAUUUUAGUUGGUUGUGGAAGACAUCAGCUGCCACUCUGGGAUUUGUUACAGACGCGGGCGGGUACCUGUGUAGAAUUACCGUCCUUCCGUAAGUCAUCUAGGCGGCUUAUCUCAAACAAGAAUUCGGCUUCUUAAGUGAGCUUUCCAAGGCUCACAGACAUGCGUCGGCUUGUACCUGGUACUAUGAUGUGCGAAAAAGAAGUCACAAUUACUAGUUUUGAUGUAUUCUGUUGGUUGACUCGAAACACGUUAGGAGAUUGUGAAAUUCCGCAACAAUAAAAACAACCGAUGGCCGGACAAUCGAUGUAAGCCAUGAAGGCUAUAUGUUUUUGAUGAAAAUUAAUUUGUCAUCAUAUAAUUUUAUACGGAAUUACAUAACUGAAACUUUAUUCAAAGAUUACUUCUGCAAGUUAAAUUUAUAUUUUAAUCUAAAAAUUUCAAUAUAUUAUUAAAGCACUUCAAAACUGAUAACCAGCAAGGGCAUAUUUCUGAAAAGUUAAUAAGUUUCUUUUUUAUGCUAGGUUCUCGACUUUGUUCUGGUUUUCUGCCUAUUAAUAAACAGAUAAGCACGUUUAAAAAUUCAAGUUAAAAUUACUAUUGUAAAGUGUCAUCAAUUUCUGUUUUUUUUUUUGUUGGGUUUAACGCUGCACCGACACAAGUAUAGGUCAAGUGUCAUCAAGGUAAUUUUAACGGGACACAUGGCCUUCGUGCCUUUUUUUUUUUUGUUGUUGUUUAUUCUUUUGUUUUUUGUGUGUGUAGAAUUCAAAGAUAAAACAAUAACAAAUGAUAGAUAUGUCGGAGUCUGUUCAUCGAAAGUAAUCCUUUGCUCUGGUUUACAAUUAGCGGUUUUGAUUUUUUCAAAGCUCGUGAAUCAACCAGUUUAAAGGUUAAGCCAAAUGUUUAUUGGAUCAAGUCGUCUGAUUGUUUCAAAUAAAAUGAAAGCAAUUGAUGGAAAUAAAAUACACAAUUAUACAGAAAGAUGAAUUUGAAUGGGUCGCUAUCAGGAAUCUUUAUCCUACUUAAACCCUUCGGGCCAUUAACAGUGUUUCUUUGAUGCUUUGUGUUUGUUUUGUUUUUUGCAAAGUCACUGAGUACUGACGUUUUUUCAUUCUUAAGGGUUUUAUUUAUUUAAAUUUACAAAAGCAAUUUUAUGUUAUACAUGCCAUGACUUUUGUUACCAGUGCGUGUGACAGGGUUUCCCCUGGUGGGAAUAAUGUUUUUUUUUAUUGACCUGUGAGUUUGGAACAUUGGUAAGAGUGAGAUGAGGUGCGCACCGUUUAAGCACCCAGUAUUUUGCCACUGAUCGUUCCAAGGCGGUCUACCCACCCCUGUAUUCCUUUUAAGUGCGGUUGUCCUGGUGUAUUUCCUUUGUUUUCGUUACUUUUUUCAAAAAAUAAAUUUAGAACAUCAGGGAAAUCAUAUGCAUAAGUGUAACUAAAGCAAGGGUCACUCAUUUUUUCAAUAAUUUUGUACCUAUGCAUUUAUUACGAUAUUCUUAGCUCCAGUUAACAAAAAUUUUAUAUAAAAAUGGUUCAAAUGUUCAACAUAAUAAAUUAAAUUAGUUUUUUAUCAUUGAUUAAUAGUACAAAGAUAAUGCGACAAGGUUUGAGCACGUCCAUGAUUUAUCUACCAAACUGCAUAAAGCAGACGUUUAGAGUCUUAGUAUGUCUCCUGUCAUCAUACAACAUAGAUAUCCUUUACACAAGCUGUAUUUGAACUACACUCCAUUACUACUGUGAUUAUAUCAAUUAGAAAUUGUGUUGUUUCCUAAAGUGAAGAGAUGCUCUAUUUUUAGGCUUAAUUCCGUAUGUUAAUGAUGCAUUAUCAAUGGUUUUUUUUUUAUCUUAAUGUAAAGGCAUCUUGGACCUUCUGAAAAAUAUGAAAAACUGACUUUCAAUUUUACUACUUAUAAAAAUAUUAUGAAAUGUUGUAUUGAAGGUAACGCAUGGUAGUUCCGAGAAAUAAUCCGUUUUAAAUGUCAUGUAAGGUAAUUUUAAAAUUGAUUUUUUUAAAGAUUCUUUCUUUUUAGACCAUAAUACAGAGUUUUCAUCCAUUUCGGUUAUAUUCGAAGCAAAAUGUUGAUAUGGAGAGACGCAAAAACUUUUUCAAUGAAUGCAUAUGUACCAAAUUAAUGAAAUGAUUCUGUACCUGUUAAGACAGUACGCUAAUAUUUUACUUUCAAAUGACAGAUUAUAAAAGACAAAUGGUCAUGUAUGUUUAAAUUUAGUCGAUACACCGAAGUAGAAAUAUAUGUAUUAUAUUUUCCUGUGAGAACGCAAUUUUUAAAUUAGCGUUUUUCCGUGAAAAGUCAUUUCAAAAUUAACGACUGCCGUGUAAUUUCCCUAAGGUAUCUGAAAAUGUAUUAUUAAUGCACUUUUAUACUUUUAUAUGUUAAUAUGAUACAUGUAUAUUAGAUGACGUUUAUCGUUUUUACUCCAGGGAAAGUUACUGUAAUCAUAACGAUUGUAAAUAGCAUUGUGUUUGUAUUUUGAAGAAGAAUUGACGUACAUGUCACAUACAGUACAGAAAACAUGAUACAGUAUAGUUCGUUUAGUACUGCGCCGUGUUCUUGUCAAAUCAAGAGGGCUUUAGGCGGAACAAAGGGACACUGCUGUGAAAUUAUUUCAAAAUCAAGUUUGAAAGGAAAUGGUGUUUGAAGAUUAUUAUAUUUUUAACAUUCGCCAUGUUUUUUGACAAACUAUUAUUAUAUCAAAAAUCUUAGUAAACAGUCGCCCAAAGAAUGUUUCUGUGAAAUUAUUUUUUCCCCAGAUUUUUCUAUAUUCAGCUCCCAUGAAAAUUGUUUCAGGAAGAAUCCAAAUAUUUAGAAUAAUCUUGGUAUAGAGUAACUGAAGAUCAUUUGUGCAAACUUUUCUUGAAAUCAGACCAACAGUUACUGACAAGAACGUUUGUACAAUUUUCAAAACAUACAUAUAGGGAAAAGUUACCACACUCUCAUGGUGGCUGUUAAUGACAAAUCAAACUGAUUUGUGCACCCUUGAUUGAAGGUUACCCAAUGAAUGUUUGUGUGGAUUUCUUUCAAAGUCGGGAAAUUAGUUUUGGACAUGCACUUUCUUUACAGUAUCAUGAGUAUAAACUGUACACUUAUAGUCAACUGGCCGCCAUGUUUUGAAACCGUGCAGACAAAGGAGUUGUUUCAUGAGUUAGUUCACACAAUAACUUUAAUUUUGCUUAUACAUGCAACCACAAUUAUAGCUUUUGAAUUUUAUGUUGCUUAUCUUAUCUACCCUCAGAUUAUCUUCUAAUGUUUUGAUAGAUUUAAUCAGAAUUACAUUUCAGUUGUUGAUGUGUAGCAAAUUGAGUUGUAUGACGGGGCCAUAGUCACCAUAAGUUGUAUUCACAGUCGUUGAGAAUAAUACAAUCUCUGAAUGUCGAUGGAAUGAUGUAAAAUAUCACAGAUGUUCAUUAUGAUAUAUAAUUACCGAUAGGGUCAAGCAUGCGGAAUAAAGAAAUGUGAAGAGAUAAUUGCAGCUACUUUUUGACAGUGUAUAAAUUAAAUUAGGAAUGGCAGUCAGAUUUUAAAAAGAUAAAAGGUAAGGGUAGAUUUCCCGGAAGCACGGAGCACCCCAAACACA
rnacentral:lncRNA from 1 species